rnacentral:rRNA from 1 species
CUGGCUCACGUUGAACGCUAGCUACAGGCUUAACACAUGCAAGUCGAGGGGCAGCAUGGUCUUAGCUUGCUAAGGCCGAUGGCGACCGGCGCACGGGUGAGUAACACGUAUCCAACCUGCCGUCUACUCUUGGACAGCCUUCUGAAAGGAAGAUUAAUACAAGAUGGCAUCAUGAGUCCGCAUGUUCACAUGAUUAAAGGUAUUCCGGUAGACGAUGGGGAUGCGUUCCAUUAGAUAGUAGGCGGGGUAACGGCCCACCUAGUCUUCGAUGGAUAGGGGUUCUGAGAGGAAGGUCCCCCACAUUGGAACUGAGACACGGUCCAAACUCCUACGGGAGGCAGCAGUGAGGAAUAUUGGUCAAUGGGCGAGAGCCUGAACCAGCCAAGUAGCGUGAAGGAUGACUGCCCUAUGGGUUGUAAACUUCUUUUAUAAAGGAAUAAAGUCGGGUAUGCAUACCCGUUUGCAUGUACUUUAUGAAUAAGGAUCGGCUAACUCCGUGCCAGCAGCCGCGGUAAUACGGAGGAUCCGAGCGUUAUCCGGAUUUAUUGGGUUUAAAGGGAGCGUAGAUGGAUGUUUAAGUCAGUUGUGAAAGUUUGCGGCUCAACCGUAAAAUUGCAGUUGAUACUGGAUAUCUUGAGUGCAGUUGAGGCAGGCGGAAUUCGUGGUGUAGCGGUGAAAUGCUUAGAUAUCACGAAGAACUCCGAUUGCGAAGGCAGCCUGCUAAGCUGCAACUGACAUUGAGGCUCGAAAGUGUGGGUAUCAAACAGGAUUAGAUACCCUGGUAGUCCACACGGUAAACGAUGAAUACUCGCUGUUUGCGAUAUACAGCAAGCGGCCAAGCGAAAGCGUUAAGUAUUCCACCUGGGGAGUACGCCGGCAACGGUGAAACUCAAAGGAAUUGACGGGGGCCCGCACAAGCGGAGGAACAUGUGGUUUAAUUCGAUGAUACGCGAGGAACCUUACCCGGGCUUAAAUUGCAGAUGAAUUACGGUGAAAGCCGUAAGCCGCAAGGCAUCUGUGAAGGUGCUGCAUGGUUGUCGUCAGCUCGUGCCGUGAGGUGUCGGCUUAAGUGCCAUAACGAGCGCAACCCUUGUUGUCAGUUACUAACAGGUUCCGCUGAGGACUCUGACAAGACUGCCAUCGUAAGAUGUGAGGAAGGUGGGGAUGACGUCAAAUCAGCACGGCCCUUACGUCCGGGGCUACACACGUGUUACAAUGGGGGGUACAGAGGGCCGCUACCACGCGAGUGGAUGCCAAUCCCCAAAACCUCUCUCAGUUCGGACUGGAGUCUGCAACCCGACUCCACGAAGCUGGAUUCGCUAGUAAUCGCGCAUCAGCCACGGCGCGGUGAAUACGUUCCCGGGCCUUGCACACACCGCCC